AAUACAUGCAAGUCGAGCGAAUGGAUUAAGAGCUUGCUCUUAUGAAGUUAGCGGCGGACGGGUGAGUAACACGUGGGUAACCUGCCCAUAAGACUGGGAUAACUCCGGGAAACCGGGGCUAAUACCGGAUAACAUUUUGAACCGCAUGGUUCGAAAUUGAAAGGCGGCUUCGGCUGUCACUUAUGGAUGGACCCGCGUCGCAUUAGCUAGUUGGUGAGGUAACGGCUCACCAAGGCAACGAUGCGUAGCCGACCUGAGAGGGUGAUCGGCCACACUGGGACUGAGACACGGCCCAGACUCCUACGGGAGGCAGCAGUAGGGAAUCUUCCGCAAUGGACGAAAGUCUGACGGAGCAACGCCGCGUGAGUGAUGAAGGCUUUCGGGUCGUAAAACUCUGUUGUUAGGGAAGAACAAGUGCUAGUUGAAUAAGCUGGCACCUUGACGGUACCUAACCAGAAAGCCACGGCUAACUACGUGCCAGCAGCCGCGGUAAUACGUAGGUGGCAAGCGUUAUCCGGAAUUAUUGGGCGUAAAGCGCGCGCAGGUGGUUUCUUAAGUCUGAUGUGAAAGCCCACGG
rnacentral:rRNA from 1 species